UUCGUUCAUGUAUAUCUAUAAAAUAAUUGAAUUCCUAAUGCUUCAGAUUAAUGAACUAGUUGCUACCUAUAUAACCUAUAAUCAAUUGAACUGUGGACUGUCGGUUAGAUUUGGAUUUAAAACUACAAUAUAAUCCAUUCUAACUACAGGAGCCUCGCAGAACCGAUAAUUGAUCUAAGGAGUGUGUCUACCCAGGAGAAUAAUGGGAAUGAACUAAAUGUAAG